rnacentral:rRNA from 1 species
AGUGAACGCUGGCUGUAGGCCUAACACAUGCAAGUCGAGCGGCAACGCAGUAAGAGCUUGCUCUUAUGGGCGGCGAGUGGCGCACGGGUGAGGAACACAUCUGAAACUACCUUUUUACGGGGGGUAACCUUUGCAAACGUACGCUAAUACCCCCUUCGACCUUUGUGGGAAAGCAAGUAAUCGUCUGAACUUUCGCUAGUAAUUGAUGGGGUGUCGUCUGAUCAGCUUGUUGGGGGGGUGACGGACCACCAAGGCGACGAUCCGUAGGUGUUGUGAGAGGAUGAUCAGCCACACUGGAACUGAGACACGGUACAGACUCCUACGGGAGGGAGCGGUGGGGAAUAUAGGACAAUGGGCGGAAGCCUGAUCCAGCCCUGCCGAGUGGGGGAAGAAGGCCUUCGGGUUGUAAAGGUCAUUUGUUGUGAAAGAAAAGCAGAAGGUUAAUACUGUGGUGUUCUGACGGUACCCAAAGAAUAAGCACCGGCUAACUUCGUG